CUCAGCAGCAAAAGAAAGGAUAUUUUAAAUAUUGUGGAUAUUCAAAGAAAAAAAAUCAAUAACAUAAUUUACCCCAAAGGGUUAACCACAUAUAACAUAUUAACCAAUAAGAGUAUUCCUAGCACAAUAAUGUCCCAUUUGACCCUAAGCCACUCCUCUUUCUUGAUGUUGCCGAUAAACACUCCCAUAGACAGAAACGAUGUAAUCCAAAAGAUGUGUAGAAACUGUGAUUCCAGGGAGAUUAUGGUAACGGAACUCCGGAGAACUGUCAAUCUUCUGCUUGCACUUAUAUGGACAGACAUGGACCAGAAAGACAACCCAAUUAGGAGGCU